UGCGUCACCGCCCCGCGGCGAGUACGGCGCUCCAAGAUGGCGCCCGCCGUUCCCCCCCGGUGCGUGGGAGUGCUGCUGUGUGCGCUCGUGUUUUCGCUACGAUGGAGAGCACAGGGACAGGUUUCCGAGCAGAGCAGCCCGUCAGCCCCAGCACAGCGAGCUCUGCGGUUUUGAUGAAGAGAUGGCGUUUUGCAGUGAAAAUACAAAGAAAGAAGGAAGAGAAGCAGCCGUUUCCUUCCGAAGAUAAGGGCUAAGGUGCCGUCCUGAUUGCUGAGCAGGCUUUGCCUCCACGGGUCAAAUGAACCACGAAGGCAACGUGAGAACCUGAGUGCCCAGGCGGCCAGGCCAUGUGACAGCCCCGUGCUGCUCCGCCUCCUUACCGGCGGGGGAAGGCGCAGUAAGACGGAGCUGCGCGCCUCGUCCUCCUCUCACAAACCUUCCGAGCUGACGGAUGUUUCCUCCGGGCCUCUUAUUGCAGACACCUCCACCAUUUAUGUAUCCAAGCGAGCCGCGUGGGUGGAACUGGAUGUCACAGACAGGCUGAAAAUAACUCAGACUCUGAUACCUACUGGCCUGUGUGGAAAAUCUCGGGGAUCAGAUUGAAUCACGUUAUGCGUGGCUGGCAAACGCGCCGGGAUGCGCAGAUGGAGCAGUGGGGGUUAAGGAGAGGCUGAGGCGUUCUGUGGAGAGCCGGCAAGGACUCCACGGCUGAGCCUGCAGGGCUGCUUUCUUAAUGCCCAGAGUAGCAUAUGGGGGAAGAGAAUUAUUUAGAAGGAUGUGUAAUUUCCUAUACGAUCAUCAUUAGGCCUGGACAGAGCGGGCCAAGAUGUGACAGUGCGUACUCAGGUGAACUCUGAGCUUUCUGCUUCGCUCCGAAUGUAGAGCCCAGAGCUUCACCCAGCUGCUUGGUCAUUUCGCUGAGCACAGGCUGGCUUCCUUUGGGCACAUCUUAGAACCAGAACUCACAGUGAGCUGCUAAUAUUUUCCAAGGCCGUCCUGUUGGUCCGUGCCAGCCUCUAGAGGACAGGGAGAAGCAGUGCAAGGAGGGCCUGGGCGCAGUCCCACCCUGUGUCUUACCAGCACGACAUCCAUAGCUGCCAAUGUAAACGGCACAAGCGGGCACCUCGAUUCACAGCUCUGGAGCGGAAGCCAUCAGUGAAGAGUGGCAGAGCUUUAGCGACUUGCAGAGAGCUAAAAACAGAGUUUUGGUGGGAGACUCAAACUCCCAGAGGAUAUUCCCACAUUGAGGGAGAAGAUAGCCACGAUGCUGCCAGAGCUCCUGCUGCAGCACAGCUUUGGUGCAUCAUACCCGCAUUAAAAGCUUUGUACUUCUCCUAAAAAUUACCCUCUAGGGUUUGUUUUCUCUUACCUGAGCUCCUUCCAAAGAUUAGUGUCAAAUUCACCACUCUCUUAAAACACCUACAAAGGCUUCAGCCGAAAGGUUUUCAUUUUAGGACAUUGAACAAAGAAUUUAGCCAGGCUCAAAACCUUUAUGCUGGUAAUGGUGCCACGCCCCAAGGGAAUUAAUUUGCCUAUCUCACACUGUGGGACUUCCCUGCUCCCAGAUGCCUCAGUCCAGACCACGCUUCCCAUGCUUCACCCUGAGGCUCUCGGCCCCACUCUUGCAGGAGAAAAACGCUGCUACUCUGAAAAACAUGGGUGAAAUUGUAAGUGGCACAGCAAGAACAUACCCCGAGGCCUGGAGCUGGUUUGCUCUCAGCCAGCUCAUUUCAGACUUGACUGUCCAGAAGUUUGAAUUGGGUCAGUGCAAUAAGCAGCAUAGAAGAGUCAUUCGGCCUGGGAGGGUGUUAGGUCCACUUGUUCUCAUAACAUCCCAGUGUGCUUGUGCAGCUCCUCUGAUCCCAAAUGAGCCUUUUGCUGUAGUGGGAAAGAUAACGCACGAUGUAAUUGUUGUUUGGUGGUGUGUUCUCUAGGUUUGUUGUUUUGUUGUAAGAAAGGCCUCCCAAUUCUCCUGUCACUACUUUCCAGGAAACUUGGUGUUUAUUAAGCACUGUGUAAAUUUGCAGCUCUCUCUAAAUGAAUAAUCAAUAGCAAUGAUAACAGCAC
ensembl:lncRNA